rfam:Ipomoea nil DNA, scaffold: scaffold0688, cultivar: Tokyo-kokei standard.
GCUUCCAUAGCACAGUGGUAGUGCGUUUGCUUUGUAAGUAAAAGGUCGUGAGUUCGAUCUUCGCUGGGAGCU